CAUAUCUCUCUUACGGGAAGGAUGAGAAGCUUCGACUAAGGUUCGAUUCGAGCGAAAGCGAGAAAGCGUUGCCGCAGGCAACGACCCGAAGGGCGAAGCGCGCAGCGCUGAGCCAUCCUUCCCCCACCACCA
rnacentral:sRNA from 1 species